AGAAUGCCCCUGCACAAGUCCAGCUCUGAAGAUGGAUCUGGAGAAUGCCCCUGCACAAGUCCAGCUCUGAGGAUGGAUCUGGAGAAUGCCCCUGCACAAGUCCAGCUCUGAAGAUGGAUCUGGAGGUAAAUUGAGCCACAUUUUCACAUUUAUCUUCUGCACUCUUUCUAAGCUCAGCCUAGAAAAUACACCAUGAGCGGCGUGCAAUAUCAUUUUUAAGCACAAUGUGGAAUAUUGUCUCAUUCUUUUAUGUAAUAUUUAUUUGGGAAAGUCUCGAAGGCAUUUACAUCUGCACUGAAUACAACCUCUGGUGCUCUGUCGAGCUACAGUCUGACUUUAUUGUAUUUCCCUUCAUUGAUGUGAAGGGGUGUGAACAACCCGUUACGUUACUUGUUCAGAUAAAAAGCCUCUUGCAGCGUACAGUAUGUGCGGGUCAGAAAAUUAUGUUCUGGUGAGGAAAGUGGGAAAUUCUCUUGCUUAUCAUGGUAAGGGACUCGCGGCGGGCCCAAGGCCAACGCUGCAGCUCAGGGAAUGUUUGGCCACGCCGAGGCAAAGGAGUUGGCAGCGAGGACGCUUGGAUACUUCCAUCUCCUGUAGGCGUGAUUGUCGCCACACAACCCCCUAAUCGACGCGGGAUCGAUUACGAGCUACCCGGGAUCAUGUGGCGAUUUUUCUGACGACUGCUGAGAUUGGUGAGAGGUUUGUUUUUUUAAUCCCCUGAGAAAGUCCCUAUUUGGUCUGAGGCCCUCCUUGUCAGUCCCGGGAGUCAUGCAAACUAUCAUACUUCCCAUGAGAAAGCCCCUGUUCUGAGGCAUGGACUCUUGGUGGUCGGACCCUGUGAAUGGUGGUCGGACCCAGUGAAUGGUGGUGGGACCCUGUGAACGGUGGUCGGACCCUGUGAAUGGUGGUCAGACUCAGUGAAUGGUGGUCAGAC